rnacentral:rRNA from 1 species
AUUGAACGCUGGCGGAAUGCUUUACACAUGCAAGUCGAACGGUAGAGGGGGCAACCCCUCGAGAGUGGCGAACGGGUGAGUAAUAUAUCGGAACGUGCCCAGUCGUGGGGGAUAACGUAGCGAAAGUUACGCUAAUACCGCAUACGAUCUAAGGAUGAAAGCGGGGGAUCGCAAGACCUCGCGCGAUUGGAGCGGCCGAUAUCAGAUUAGGUAGUUGGUGGGGUAAAGGCUCACCAAGCCAACGAUCUGUAGCUGGUCUGAGAGGACGACCAGCCACACUGGAACUGAGACACGGUCCAGACUCCUACGGGAGGCAGCAGUGGGGAAUUUUGGACAAUGGACGCAAGUCUGAUCCAGCCAUUCCGCGUGCAGGAUGAAGGCCCUCGGGUUGUAAACUGCUUUUGUACGGAACGAAAAGGUCUCUCUUAACACGGGGGGCUCAUGACGGUACCGUAAGAAUAAGCACCGGCUAACCACGUGCCAGCCGCCGCGGUAA